rnacentral:tRNA from 1 species
ACCGUGUAGCUCAGUUGGCAGAGCAUUGGGCUAGUAUUCCAAAGGUCGUAGGUUCGAUUCCCACCGCCGGUG